rnacentral:tRNA from 1 species
AAGGGAGACCUAAUUCCGGUAGGAGACGAAAAAAAAGUAGUCCCAACCAAGAAUCAAUCCUAAAAGGUCGGAACGAGGUUUGAGGCUUUCAAACUAGGUUCUGGGUUCAUAAAAGACCUGAAUCAGGAACAAGGGCUAUUAGCUCAGGUGGUUAGAGCGCACCCCUGAUAAGGGUGAGGUCCCUGGUUCGAGUCCAGGAUGGCCCACCUGCACAGGUGGCAAAAACAAGAGAAGCUCCGAAUCAGCACCUUAUCUUAUAUACAUAUAUAAGAGAGAAUGCUGGCUCUGAGUACAGAGUCCAGAGGAACCUUGAAAACUGCAUAGAGCUAGGUGAAAAAGCCAAAAAAGAAGACCGCAA